rnacentral:rRNA from 1 species
AUGCAGUCGAACGGGUAUUACUUUUGUAGCAAUACGGAAGUAAUUUAGUGGCGCACGUGGUGCGUAACACGUGGGCAAUCUGCCGAAAAGUGGGGGAUAGCUCGCCGAAAGGCGAAUUAAUACCGCAUGUGAUGAGCUAAGACAUCUUAGUGAAUUCAAAGCCGGGGCAACCUGGCGCUUUUUGAGGAGCCCGCGGCCUAUCAGCUAGUUGGUGAGGUAACGGCUCACCAAGGCUAUGACGGGUAGCUGGUCUGAGAGGACGACCAGUCACACUGGAACUGAGACACGGUCCAGACACCUACGGGUGGCAGCAGUCGAGAAUUUUUCUCAAUGGGGGAAACCCUGAAGGAGCGACGCCGCGUGGAGGAUGAAGGCUUUCGGGUUGUAAACUCCUGUCAUUUGGGAACAAGGUGGACACGUUAACUGCGUGGUCAUUGAUAGUUACCAGAAGAAGCUGCGGCUAACUACGUGCCAGCA